rnacentral:lncRNA from 8 species
GGCAGACAUGGUAACUUCAGCACCACAGACAGCAGACAGCUAAUGGCCAAGCAGGGCUUUGAGAAUGAAAGAGGAGGAGCAGAUUGUAGAGCUUAAUGAAACACACCUGGAGCUUAUCAAGGCUGACCAUUAUAAACUGGCUUAGUGGCUCUGCCCUGAAUGGUAAUAAUUUGGCUGAAAUGAACAUGUGUUUCCUGUGUGUUAAUGUGUCCUCAUUGUGUUAGAUACUGACAGUCCAAACUAGUCAGACCAUGGACAGGAAGUCUCCCUUAAAAUAUGUAGACCUAUGAGCAACUCAAUCUGCCCUUCCCUCACUUUUAUGAGCUGCGGACAUUAAUCCCCUGAACUUCACUGCCACAACUCUAGCCAAAUGAGGAAAUGGCUGAUAAGGAUGUGAUGUCCUCAGAGAAUCCUGUUUCCUUCGUACACUCAACCAGCCAGAAGAAGGCUUUUUCCAUUAGCUCUAAUUCUCAGACUGGUGCUGCCGACAGCAAGACAAGUAGGUAUCACCGCUGUCAGACAAACUGUCGAACAUGUUUCUCCACAUUUACACUUUACAGUUUCUACUUUCAGUUAGAUGUCAAAAACUUUGCAGGCCAAAUACACCCUAGUUCACAAAAUAGAGAUAAAAGAUCUGUGGGGUGUGUGUGUGAGGUACAAAAACCCAUCUAAACCCACGCCUAGUUUUUUGGGGGUGUCUUUCUCUGAUGUUAGUGUGAUUGCGGUGUCCAGGAAGGAAUGAUG